CGUUCCCGGGCCUUGUACACACCGCCCGUCACGUCAUGAAAGUCGGUAACACCCGAAGCCCAUGGCCCAACCCGCAAGGGGGGGGAGUGGUCGAAGGUGGGACUGGCGAUUGGGACG
rnacentral:rRNA from 1 species